GAUGAACGCUGGCGGCGUGCCUAAUACAUGCAAGUCGAGCGAACGGACGAGAAGCUUGCUUCUCUGAUGUUAGCGGCGGACGGGUGAGUAACACGUGGAUAACCUACCUAUAAGACUGGGAUAACUUCGGGAAACCGGAGCUAAUACCGGAUGAUAUUUUGAACCGCAUGGUUCAAAAGUGAAAGACGGUCUUUCUGUCACUUAUAGAUGGAUCCGCGCUGCAUUAGCUAGUUGGUAAGGUAACGGCUUACCAAGGCAACGAUGCAUAGCCGACCUGAGAGGGUGAUCGGCCACACUGGAACUGAGACACGGUCCAGACUCCUACGGGAGGCAGCAGUAGGGAAUCUUACGCAAUGGGCGAAAGCCUGACGGAGCAACGCCGCGUGAGUGAUGAAGGUCUUCGGAUCGUAAAACUCUGUUAUUAGGGAAGAACAUAUGUGUAAGUAACUGUGCACAUCUUGACGGUACCUAAUCAGAAAGCCACGGCUAACUACGUG
rnacentral:rRNA from 1 species